AGUAGACAUUUGGGAUAGACAACCCACUGUAGGAGUUCGGAGUAGACCGUUCGUAGUAGAAGUUUGGGUCUCGCAGGAGCUCGAUCGGGAUCCGGAAGGUGGUCGACCAUUGUAGAAACUUGGAAGGAGUCUGGUUACUGUCGAAACCUCAUUGUCGGGGAAGCUCGGAUGCUGACGAAGCCCGGAAGAAGUUUAGAGUAGGGUCGUCCAU
rnacentral:lncRNA from 1 species